AACUUUAUAGAUGAAGAGUUCAAAGGAGAGACAACUAUAAUUGGAUUUUUUUUUACCAUAAAUGGAGGUUGAAAUCAUAAAUGGAAGGAUAACUGACAAGCACCCAUCAAAUGAGAAGAAAAGAAAACACAAAAGUCAAGAAGUACCAAUAGAAUUAGACAGCCCCGUUAACUCCAUUCCUUAACUACCCAUAAUCGAGGACAUACUCAAAACCAUAAGUGGAUGAUAU
rnacentral:lncRNA from 1 species